GCGGGGAAUAUUGGACAAUGGGCGAAAGCCUGAUCCAGCGACGCCGCGUGUCGGAAGGAGUCCUUCGGGAUGUAAACGACUUUUGGUGGAGACGAAUAAGCAGCUCAGGGAAUGGGGCUGUGAUGACGGUAUCCAUGGAAUAAGCCCCGGCUAACUACGUGCCAGCAGCCGCGGUAAGACGUAGGGGGCAAGCGUUACCCGGAAUUACUGGGCGUAAAGGGAGCGUAGGCGGGAGGUCAAGUCCGGUGUGAAAGACCCUGGCUCAACCAGGGAUGAGGGCUGGAAACUGACAAUCUUGAGUACAGCAGAGGAAGAGGGAAUUACCGGUGUAGGGGUGAAAUCCGUAGAGACCGGUAAGAAGGCCAGUGGCGAAGGCGCUUUUCUGGGCUGUUACUGACGCUGAGGCUCGAAAGCCAGGGG
rnacentral:rRNA from 1 species